UUCACUUCUCCGCCUUUUGGCUAAGAUCAAGUGUAGCAUCUGUUCUCAUCAGUUUAACAUCUGAUACAUCCCCUACCUGGGGACCAAAUAUUAAAUUGGGAUUUUUGGGACAAGGAGAUGGAACAGGGGCCUGCCCAUUUCACUCCACGCAUCAACCUGGUAUUGCAGUGUCUCCAGGAAUUGUGCCUUUCAC